rnacentral:rRNA from 1 species
GACGAACGCUGGCGGCGUGCUUAACACAUGCAAGUCGAACGAUGAAGCCGGAGCUUGCUCUGGUGAAUUAGUGGCGAACGGGUGAGUAACACGUGAGUAACCUGCCCUUGACUCUGGGAUAACUGCGGGAAACUGUAGCUAAUACCGGAUACGACCCUCGGAGGCAUCUCCUGGGGGUGGAAAGAAUUUCGGUCAAGGAUGGACUCGUGGCCUAUCAGCUAGUUGGUGAGGUAAAGGCUCACCAAGGCGACGACGGGUAGCCGGCCUGAGAGGGUGACCGGCCACACGGGGAAUGAGACACGGCCCAGACUCCUACGGGAGGCAGCAGUGGGGAAUAUUGCACAAUGGGCGCAAGCCUGAUGCAGCAACGCCGCGUGAGGGAUGACGGCCUUCGGGUUGUAAACCUCUCUUAGCAGGGAAGAAGCGAAAGUGACGGUACCUGCAGAAAAAGCACCGGCUAACUACGUGCCAGCCGCCGCGGUAA